rnacentral:lncRNA from 1 species
CACCUCAGGGUCUUCCUGCUAAUUGUCUCCAUAAGGAGCUGGUUUGAGACACGCCUGACCACUCCUCGGCGCGAUCAGAUAGAAUAUGCUAUAGCGAUGUAACAAUGGGUUCUCCGUCUGAUAGUAUGUAGAGACUGCUGUCUUUUGUGGCAGUCUGUGCCGUCAGCAAUGCUGUUGUCAUCAGCAUCUUUGGUGUGGCAGUUAGGUUCUCAAGCAUUGAAGGUGAAAGAGGAGAGAGCUUGAUUCUCGCGUGACGAAGCUACUAAAUAUCUCUAACUUUCAGUGAGGAUGCAAUAUUUCAGUCGGCCUUGCUUGGUUGAUGUAAAUUAAUGUGCUGGGACUGUUAACGUUUACAAUCAGUCUGGAAGUUAUAUUGGGACAGUUAACGUUUACAAUCAGUCAGGAAGUUAUAACUUUUGUGAAUGGGACAGUUAAUGUUUACAAUAAUCGCUCAGGAAGUUGUAAUGGGACAGUUGACGUCUGCGGUCAGUCAGGAAGUUGUAAUGGGACAGUUGACGUUUGUGGUCAGUCAGGAAGUUGUAAUGGGACAGUUGACGUUAGCCGUCAGUCAGGAAGUCAUGGUGGGACAGUUAAAAACAUUUUUAUAUUCAGUCAGGAAGUCAUAGUAUGUGUGGAUAGGGCAGUUAACCUUUACAAUGUAUCAGGAACUUAUGACUUGCAGAUUUAGGAAACUUGUUUUUGAUACUUAUAUAUAUUAUAUAUGUAUUAACCCACAUCUUUCAAGCAGAUUUUUAAAAAUUAACCCGUGUCAUUAUCUUUACAUAUCCAGAUGUGUAAAUAAAAAUUUUAAUGAAUAUUUUAUUUAGUCGUAAUGAUAAAAUACUGUGCUUUCAGUGAUAGAAAAAAGACCUCCAUUAUUAUACAGAAGUCGAAUUUGUCGUAGACAGACGGCCACUCUUUGUUGAGGAGAAAAGUAGCCAUCUUCCUAGACAGGUGGACGUCUUUUUAUAAGUGUCUCUAUAAUGUGAAACAACCACAAGGAAGGAAUAGUGGCAAGUGGUUGUUUGUACUGUUGAUUAUCUUAUACAAAUGGCUGUUGUUGCUGCAGGUUUGACUGUAUUUUUACGUGUCUUUGAGAAGAAAUCUUUUGAGAAUCUAUUCUCAUUGGUGGUGUCUUCCCUCAAUUUCUGUCCUAUUUUGUAGGGAUACAAGUUGUAAGGUAAGCAUUUACAUGUUGACAAUUAUUACAUUUGGGGGGACACAGGUUGUAAGGGUUAUGGGUUGACAGUUUUUACAUCUGUUCAUACACAGGUUGUAUGUAAGGUUUAUAGGUUGGCAGUUAUAUUUGUAGGUACACAGGUUUUAAGGGUUAUGGGAUGACAGUUUUUACAUCUGUUCAUACACAGGUUGUAUGUAAGGUUUAUGGGUUGGCAGUUAUAUUUGUAGGUACACAGGUUGUAAGGGUUAUGGGUUGACAGUUUUUACAUCUGGUGAUACACAGGUUGUAUGUAAGGUUUAUGGGUUGGCAGUUAUAUUUGUAGGUACACAGGUUGUAAGGGUUGUGGGUUGACAGUUAUAUUUGUAGGUACACAGGUUGUAAGGGUUGUGGGUUGACAGUUAUAUUUGUAGGUACACAGGUUGUAAGGGUUGUGGGUUGACAGUUAUAUUUGUAGGUACACAGGUUGUAUGUAAGGGUUAUGGGUUGGCAGUUAUAUCUGUAGAUACACAGGUUGUACGGGUUAUGGGUUGACAGUUAUAUUUGUAGGUACACAGGUUGUAAGGGUUAUGGGUUGGCAGUUAUAUUUGCUUUGUAGGUACACAGGUUGUAAGGGUUAUGGGUUGACAGUUAUGUCUGUGGGUACACAGGUUGUAUGUAAGGGUUAUGGGUUGACAGUUAUUAUUAUUACGUUAUUAGGUUUACUGGCCGAAGGUUAUGAUAUUUUGUAAGGAUACAAGUUGUGAGGGUUUAAUAAUGUGUAAGGGUUGCCCUUUUUUAAAGUAAGUUUUUUUCUCUCCUCACCAAAUGCUUGUCUUGUGUUGUGAUUGGCUUUCAGUGGGAGAGAAUCCGCGCUUCACUUACCGCGAAGAUAUUAUUUUUUACAAAUUGUACGAAUGUAGUCUAUGCUCCACAACACAUAAAUUGUUAUAUUAUAGUCUGUGUGCUGUACACACAUAUAAAUUAUUAUAUUACAGUCUAUGCUUCAAAUAAAUGUGAGGCAGCGUGGUGGAAUCAGGCUCGUCAUAGUCAAAA